rnacentral:lncRNA from 1 species
UCACUUCUCCACGGUUUCACCCUCCCUCUCUAAGAGGGGGGGGGAAUCAUUGAGUGAUGACUGCCCUAUCCCUGAGCAGACGAGCCCCAGGCGGCGGGCCGGCGACCUAGCCCCACGCCACGCCGGAUCCGGCUGUCCGUUGCCGGCGGCGCUAUGCCUGACUCUUGCUGAAAGUUGACUAUCGGUUCAGUGUUCGUUUCGGAUUAGAGUUGGAGGUCAAGUCGGUGCUCAUCAUCUUCUAUCAUAUAUAUAUAUAUAUAUAUAUAUAUACAAAUCAUCAUCUUCUUCUUCAUCCAAACGGCUGCGCCGCCGCUUCCGUGCUCUGCAUCUUCCUCUGCCGCGGGUACGAAUCCUGCCGAUCGACCAAAUCUCAGCUAGGUCAACGUGUUGGUGCUGCUGCUGUGGGCAGCAGUUUGGUGGCUACGAGAAAGACAAAACGAAGCUUGAAACGGAUUGGAACUAAUACAACCAAAAAAGAAGAAGACAUGGAUGAUGCUACUACGACCAAAAGGAAAAGACCAGUGAUUCGUUUCAAUGACCUACCUACGGAUAUAUUGAUUGGUAUCAUAUCCCGGCUGCCGAUAAAAGAGGCGGCAAGGACGAGUAUAUUAUCAAGCCACUGGAAAAAAAUCUGGUGUUCCCAUGUAAACUUGGAAUUCUCAUUCUACUCGAUGUCGCCAAGAUUAGCUUCGACCUCACAUGAUGCACGGCUUAGGAUGAAAAUGUUCAUCGAGAGAGUCAGUCAAGUCUUUGCGCAACACAGUGGUCUAAGUGUUCAGAAAAUAGCAAUCCAAGGUAAGUUGGAUAAUGAACAUGCAGACCACAUAAACAGAUGGCUCAGCUUUGUUAGUGCUACUAAAACGAAAGAUCUUACUUUUGAUUUCAAAUCCCGGUAUCCUAGAGAGGGGCCCUAUGAUUUCCCUUUUAAGUUUUUCGGUGCUAUGGACAGUUCAUAUUUGCUGUCCAUGAGGCUUAGUGCUGUUUCUCUGAACCCGCCUGUGGAUUUCAAAGCCUUUCUGAACCUUAAAAGGCUCAAGUUAGAACACACAAAUAUUACUGAUGAAAACAUGCAGAUUUUGAUCUCCAACUGCAAUGCCUUGGAGUUUCUUGGUAUCGUUGAUUGUGGGAAGCUCACAAGAUUGUCGACAUCGCACCUUUGGAACCAGCUUAAACAUUUGCAUGUCGAGAGCUGCCAUCUGCUUAAAGAGAUAGAGUUGAAUCUUGGCCUGACGAAACUUGGGUACAAGGGCACACUGAUACCGUUGUCACCUCCUGGGCCAUUGCUGCUAACGAAUGUCUGCAUGAAGCUGCAACACGCUCGUUCCUCUCUUGGAUAUAUCUUCACCAAUCUUCCAAGCACUCUGCUCCAUCUCGAGACGCUGAGUUUGCAAUGUUCAGAACUCGAGAGGGCUAUUUUGCCAGAAAAUCAUAUCAAAUUUAUGUAUCUAAAGCAUUUGAGGUUGCAAUUGAGACACCCUGUGACGGAAAAGAAGAUUGAUCUUCUUGACUUUGCCUGCCUACUGGAAGCUGCUCCUUUACUGCAAAAGUUUGAAUUACAUCUGUCACUGCACAUUCUCAGAAAUUCCGCCAUGAUCAGGGCGAUGAAGGUCGACCCCAAGCCGCUCUUCGCCCUUCCUUGUAUAUCGAUGCUGUCACCCUUGGAAGGGUUUCAGUAUCUUGAUGGGUAUGAGGUCGCCAUUGAAUAUCUCUGCAGAGAAGACCACAACAAUGUCGUCGAUGUUUCUGAAAUUCGUCGUGAGGAGGUCGAAACGCUCUCGGUUUGUGAGCUGGUUUAUCCAGAUUGUGUUCGCCUUACCCGUAAGGCCAAUUCCUCUUCCUGA